UACGUAGGGUGCGAGCGUUAAUCGGAAUUACUGGGCGUAAAGCGUGCGCAGGCGGCGCGUUAAGACAGGUGUGAAAGCCCCGAGCUUAACUUGGGAAUUGCGCUUGUGACUGGCGUGCUGGAGUGUGGCAGAGGGGGGUGGAAUUCCGCGUGUAGCAGUGAAAUGCGUAGAGAUGCGGAGGAACACCGAUGGCGAAGGCAGCCCCCUGGGCUAGCACUGACGCUCAGGCACGAAAGCGUGGGGAGCAAACAGG
rnacentral:rRNA from 1 species